rnacentral:rRNA from 1 species
GAUGAACGCUGGCGGCGUGCCUAACACAUGCAAGUCGAACGGAGAUUCCGGACGGAAGUUUUCGGAUGGAAGCCUGUAAUUCUUAGUGGCGGACGGGUGAGUAACGCGUGGGCAACCUGCCCUAUACAGGGGGAUAGCAGCUGGAAACGGCUGGUAAGACCGCAUAAGUCGGUUAAAUCGCAUGAUUUGAUCGGGAAAUGAGCAAUCAGGUAUAGGAUGGGCCCGCGUCCGAUUAGCCAGUUGGCAGGGUAAAAGCCUACCAAAGCGACGAUCGGUAGCCGGACUGAGAGGUCGGAUGGCCACAUUGGGACUGAGACACGGCCCAAACUCCUACGGGAGGCAGCAGUGGGGGAUAUUGCACAAUGGAGGAAACUCUGAUGCAGCGACGCCGCGUGAGUGAAGAAGUAUUUCGGUAUGUAAAGCUCUAUCAGCAGGGAAGAUGAUGACGGUACCUGACUAAGAAACCCCGGCUAACUACGU